rnacentral:rRNA from 1 species
CCAGACUCCUACGGGAGGCAGCAGUGAGGAAUAUUGGUCAAUGGGCGGGAGCCUGAACCAGCCAAGCCGCGUGAAGGAAGAAGGCGCCAGGCGUCGUAAACUUCUUUUGCCGGGGGACAAACGGCGGCACGCGUGCCGUCCUGAGGGUACCCGGAGAAAAAGCAUCGGCUAACUCCGUGCCAGCAGCCGCGGUAAUACGGAGGAUGCGAGCGUUAUCCGGAUUUAUUGGGUUUAAAGGGUGCGUAGGCGGGAUGCCAAGUCAGGGGUAAAAUACGGGGGCUCAACCUGCGUCCGCCGUUGAAACUGGCGUUCUUGAGUGGGCGAGAAGUACGCGGAAUGCGUGGUGUAGCGGUGAAAUGCAUAGAUAUCACGCAGAACUCCGAUUGCGAAGGCAGCAUACCGGCGCGCAACUGACGCUCAUGCACGAAAGCGUGGGUAUCGAACAGGAUUAGAUACCCCCGUA